GGGAAUUUAGCUUAAUUAGGUAGAGCUUCUAGCUUACAACUAGAUGGAAGUAGUUCAAAUCUACUAAUUCCCA
rnacentral:tRNA from 1 species